rnacentral:rRNA from 1 species
UCCGUAGGUGGAUAAUUAAGUCAGAGGUGAAAUCCUGCAGCUCAACUGUAGAAUUGCCUUUGAUACUGGUUAUCUUGAGUCAUUAUGAAGUGGUUAGAAUGUGUAGUGUAGCGGUGAAAUACAUAGAUAUUACACAGAAUACCGAUUGCGAAGGCAGAUCACUAAUAAUGUACUGACACUGAUGGACGAAAGCGUGGGGAGCGAACAGGAUUAGAUACCCUGGUAGUCC